CCCUUAGAUGUCCUGGGCCGCACGCGUGCUACACUGACGCCUACAGCGAGUACUUCCCAGCCCCGAGAGGUGGCUGGUAAUCAGCAAUAGGCGUCGUGAUGGGGAUAGAUCUUUGGAAUUAUGGAUCUUGAACGAGGAAUGCCUAGUAAGCGCAGGUCAUUAGCCUGCGCUGAUUAAGUCCCUGCCCUUUGUACACACCGCCCGUCGCUCCUACCGAUUGAAUGGUCCGGUGAAAUCUCGGGACGGCGGCUUGGUCGCUUGCGUCCGACUGCUGAAACUUGAUUAAACCAUAUCAUUUAGAGGAAGGUGAAGUCGUAACA
rnacentral:rRNA from 1 species